AGGAUAAUAUUGGUUCCCCCAAGGUCCAUGAUCUAUCUAUUCUGAGGUUCUUGUAAGAUAUUAACAGUGUCAGCAUGCAGAGUACCUUCCAGCUCCAUGAACAUUAAGGAUGAAGCUUCUAGUUGGGCAUCAGCUCAAUUUCUCCAUGUUUGAUGACAUAAGGUCUCACCAUGCUGCUCAUGAUAAUCUCAGACUCAGGCACAGAGGAGGGACUUCUCGCCUGUCUCCUGUGUAUCUUUCACUGAAGAUACAAACCACACACCAAGAUGGUGGUAUUGUAAUAGGCAGAAUGUUGACCUACUGUUUUCUUUCUUGAAUAAUUUGCCUGAGAUCACCAUCCAGUCAAUGUUCGGGGCAGAGCACUCCAAGCCACUGUCCUCGGAGAAGUGUGGCAGCCCUCAAAAUCAGCAGGAUCUCAAUGAGAUUUUAUUCUUCAAGCACCAGGACUACCAUGCUAGCCUGUCCUCAGUGUUAACAAGAGAUCCUGUCGCUGGAACUGCUGUGAGGGAGUUAAGUCCAGUGUUCCAAUGUGGGUCUCUGUCUCUAUCUCC